UGGGGAAUCUUCCGCAAUGGACGAAAGUCUGACGGAGCAACGCCGCGUGAGUGAUGACGGUCUUCGGAUUGUAAAGCUCUGUUAAUCGGGACGAAUGGUUUGUGUGCAAAUAGUGCAUAGACAUGACGGUACCGGAAUAGAAAGCCACGGCUAACUACGUGCCAGCAGCCGCGGUAAUACGUAGGUGGCAAGCGUUGUCCGGAAUUAUUGGGCGUAAAGCGCGCGCAGGCGGACUAGCCAGUCAGUCUUAAAAGUUCGGGGCUUAACCCCGUGAUGGGAUUGAAACUACUAGUCUAGAGUAUCGGAGAGGAAAGUGGAAUUCCUAGUGUAGCGGUGAAAUGCGUAGAUAUUAGGAAGAACACCAGUGGCGAAGGCGACUUUCUGGACGAACACUGACGCUGAGGCGCGAAAGCCAGGGGAGCAAACAGG
rnacentral:rRNA from 1 species